GCUGCUAUAGCUCAGGAGGUAGAGCGCAUCCUUGGUAAGGAUGAGGUCAGCAGUUCAAAUCUGCUUAGCAGCUCCA
rnacentral:tRNA from 1 species